rnacentral:tRNA from 1 species
GGAGAGAUGGCUCAGUGGUUAAGAGCACUGACUGUUCAUCCAGAGGACCUGGGUUCAAUUCCCAGCACCC